UGCCAGCCGCCGCGGUAAUACGAGGGGAGCUAGCGUUAUCCAAAAUGAUUGGGCAUAAAGAGUUUGUAGGCGGUAUUUGUUGUUAUUUGCAAAAUAUUUAGUUUAUUGCUAAAUAAGGCAUGUAAUACUCAUAUACUUGAGUAUAAUAGAGGAUAGCAGAAUUUCACAUGGAAGAGUAAAAUCUAGUGAUUUGUGAAGGAAUGCCAGUUGCGAAAGCGGUUAUCCGGGUUUUUACUGACGCUGAGGAACGAAAGCGUAGGGAGCAAACAGGAUUAGAUA
rnacentral:rRNA from 1 species